GUUAUGGCUGUAACAUACAGUAAUGUUCCUGGCUUGGGAGCCAUGUUGCUAUCUGAAAAUGCUUCCUCUUAACUUGCCGCCAGUACCCUUCCAAGAUCAUUGCUGCCAAAAUGAGUUUUUUCAAAUGUUCCUAUUUUUGUUUCGUUUGCUGACCUGCAGUUGACUCGAUGCCACUUGUGUCUGUCCAGAUGCAGCGUGCUAAUUUCUGAAUGUCACAGCUGGCUGUUCCUUGAGGUUCAAAUGACAGAAGACAACCCCUCUUAGCUGGGGAGAAUUCAGAUGGAUAUGAAAGAAGGUGGCAGGACAGAUGAAGAGCUUUGUUUCUGUUCAGAUAAGCCACUAAUUCAACCACACCUGCAAAUGAUUGUGGCUCUAAGAAUAGCAGGCAGGACUAACUAGCAUGUCCCAACACAGUACACCUUAUCUUAUCUUUACUUACUGAUGCCCCAAGUCAGCUGACAGGAACCUCAUGAAGCCCAACAAGAGGAAGUGCACAGUCCUGCACCCGGGGAGAAACAACCCCAGGCAAGUUGGAAAGCAGCCUGGCAGGAAAGGCCCUGGGAAUCCCGGUGGACACCGACAUGAGUCAUCAACGUGCCCUUGCUGCUAAGGCUAUAUACAAAAUCAUGCUGCCAUUUGGCCUCCCUGUGUAUGGGCUGUCUGGGUAUUACACAAAGGUGCUUAUCAAUGGACAGUAGCAGCAGCAGAGAACUCCUGAAGCAGCACCAGCAAUUUUCAUGACCAUUUAAACAAGCAAGUACAAAAUGCAGAAUGUACUGAGAUAUCUGUGAAGAAUCAGUGCCAGAGAAGCUGUACCUCUGAACCUCCUGAGGGCGGUCCCUCUCCCAACCAUGGCGAUUCUUCUCCUUCUCAAGCAGCCACCGAGACAAUUCUGAACAGUAGGAAGAUAUUAAGAAACAAGCUUACCUUAAACC